rnacentral:rRNA from 1 species
UACAGAGGGUGCGAGCGUUGUUCGGAAUUACUGGGCGUAAAGCGCGCGCAGCCGGCCUUUUAAGUCUGACGGUGAAAUGCCGGGGCUCAACCCCGUGCCCGCCGCGGAUACUGGGAGGCUGGAGACAUGUAGAGGCAAGCGGAAUUCCGGGUGUAGCGGUGGAAUGCGUAGAGAUCCGGAAGAACACCGGAGGCGAAGGCGGCUUGCUGGGCAUUGUCUGACGCUGAGGCGCGAAAGCGUGGGGAGCGAACAGG